ensembl:lncRNA
CAGAUUUUAAAAAAUUAGUGGCGUGGGUUCACACCCAUGCAAACAUCUGUUGUCAUAUGCCCAACGGGGAAGGUGUCUCAGGGAGACCGGAUGACCACAGCCACACGCUUUGCUGGCGGUGUAAAAGUGGACAUGCGUACACAUGGAAUCAGUGCUUCCGAGGACGAGCCGUGCAAUAUUGCAAAAACCACGCCUGCAGAGGCGUUUCUUUUCCCCUUAAACCCUGCCGCACUCCUCCAAGCGACGGGAAGCCCACUUCUACGGUGUAUGCCCCAGGCUUUGCUGCACUGUUGGCAUCUUCUAAAGAAAGAUAGACACAGCAACACCUACCAGCCAAGGAAAAUUCAAACAAACGACAGUUAAAGAGAACUACAAGAAGACUUAGUAACAUAGAAAACUUCCAGAGUUGGAUUUCACUCCACAAACCAGAGGCAUCUUCCUCCUUGAACACUGGCCUCCUAUUUCCAGCAGCAGUGGUUUUCCAGGCCCCAGGGGUCGAGCAGCCAGUCGGUGCUGUUCUGCAGCUAUGCCAUAGACAGGGUUGCACCUUCAGCCUGGCCAAGUCUGUGGAGCUGCGUGAGGCCCGCGCCGUGCUGCAAGCCUGUGUGUGGGAGGGGCGGCGGUAUGAGUCGGCCCACCACCUCGACAUCCCCCUGAGCAUCCAGCGCCGCGAGCAGGAGGAGCCACGAUGAGCUCGAUCGGCACUCGCCACGUGCCCUGCUCAACCUGGUGCUGCUCAACAACCUUCGGAAAGCAGCACCUGCAACGCCGCACGCCACGUUGCUUCAAACACUUCCACUUGGUGCACGGCCCCGGUGCCGGCCUCAGGGGUGGAGGGGUGGCACCGUGGGUGUGGAUUUUAGGAGGCAUGCCUUGCUCAAUGACUCUGCCCACUGCAGGAUUUCAGGCUGUACGUCUCCAAGCAUAGCCGGGGCUUCGACAGCAAGGAUAACGCAUUCUACUCCAUGCUCAAGGCACAGCCGCGGGCCUCGGUCCAGUACAGCAAAGCACCAGUAAACCAGGUGAAUCAGCCAGCUCGUUCAGACCAUCAGAACUUACAGGCGGUUGGACUUGAAUGCAGCAUAAACGUUCAGUGUUCUAUCACUAUGAUCGAUUAAAGCACAUAUUUUGCAUUAUAAAAUUGUUGUGAGUCUUAUUCCAGUGGGUAAUUGGUGAUAAUUGAGGAAGCAUCUCAUAGUGUUCAGCCUGGCUGCUUCCUGUUAAUGCUUGUGGGAAAUUACUCAUGCCUCCUCUGCCUGAACUUAAG